rnacentral:rRNA from 1 species
ACUCCUACGGGAGGCAGCAGUNAGGAAUAUUGGACAAUGGGCGGGGAGCCUGAUCCAGCCAUGCCGCGUGCAGGAAGACUGCCCCUAUGGGGUUUGUAAAACUGCUUUUUGUACAGGAAGAAACACUCCCUCGUGAGGGAGCUUGACGGUACUGUAAGAAUAAGGAUCGGCUAACUCCGUGCCAGCAGCCGCGGUAAUACGGAGGAUCCAAGCGUUAUCCGGAAUCAUUGGGUUUAAAGGGUCCGUAGGUGGAUGAUUAAGUCAGAGGUGAAAAUCCCUGACUCAACUGUAGAAUUGCCUUUGUACUGGUUGUCUUGAAUUAUUGUGAAGUAUUAGAAUAUGUGGUGUAGCGGUGAAAUGCAUAGAUAUCACAUAG